UUUGCCGCGAGUCUGCUCGGCCCUCCAAGCAGCUGGGGCAGCGCGGGGUAAGGAUGGCGGAGGAGCUGUAGCAGGAGGAGGAGCCAUGGCCCACGCCUCUCUCUUCAAGUACAGCAUCGUGAGCGACCCAGGUAUGAGGAGCCAGACAUUUAGAUAAAUGAAGGAGCCUGUCUGUCUCCCUGUUUUGUAUAAGAACUCCAGCUGGUGGCAUGUGAUGUGGUGAAGCAAGCUUGAGUGGUGAUUCUCAAAGUGUGGUCCCUCGGCAGGCAGCAUCGGCAUCACUUGGGACCUUAUGAGAUCGUGGGGCUCAGAAAAUGAUACCCAACGUUUGGCCCUUUCGCAAAGCAGCAAAGUCUCUCUGACGGUCUCCUGUCCUCCCGCCUCUCACCCUCCCUUCUUGCCCAAGACAGGCUUUGCUGGGUUUCCCCACUCAGUUUAAUACCUUUAGAUCUUUUGUGCAAUCCCAUUUCUAUACAUCUGCCAGUUCUUCACGGACCUAAACAUACAAAUAGUUUUUUCUGAGUCUUUGGGUCUUCAUUUCUGAAGGCUCCUGUGUCACGUAAAACUUUGAUUAAAUAAGUUUGUUGUGCUUUUUCCUUGCUAACUUGCCUUUUAUUAUAGUAGUGUCCACUGUGACUGCUUAUGAGGGGGAGAAAAGGUAUCACACCCCCUCCACCGCUACACAGACAUGCAAAUGUUUGAGCCCUGCCUCUGAUUUACUGAAACUGAAACUCUGGGAAGGGGGCCCAGGAAGCUCCUUUCAACAAGCCUUCCUGGGGAUUAUUAUGCAUGCUAAAGUUUGAGAACCACUGGGGGGGGGGCGUGGAGCAGGGGCUAGAAUACAUCACCAAAGGAUGUAGGGUUUACCAUUCCAAUAAUUCCAUAUUUUCCUGUCCCUCUCCAAUUGUAUAGUUCUGCAGGGCAUCUGUAAAAAGAAAAA